UUCCAGCAGUUCCCUGAGGAUGGGAGCGUGGCCAGGGCUGCUCCAGGUGCUGUUUUGGACAAACCCUUUUGUGCCUGGGCAAGGACACAGCGUGGGAGUCACCUGCCUGCACGGGCUCAGGAGGAUGCAGCCAGAGCUGCUGCCCAGUGCAGAGCUGGAAACGGAGGAAAAUAGAGUGGCUGGGCACUCUGAGAACCCACGAACAAAUGGUCUGAGGCAGCAGCCAAG
rnacentral:lncRNA from 12 species